rnacentral:rRNA from 1 species
AGUUUUUUCUUUUUUGCAUAUCAAUAAGCGGAGGAAAAGAAACCAACAGGGAUUGCCUCAGUAACGGCGAGUGAAGCGGCAAAAGCUCAAAUUUGAAAUCCCCCCGGGGAGUUGUAAUUUGAAGAUUGCGUCUUGGAGGCGACCGUGUCUAUGUUCCUUGGAACAGGACGUCACAGAGGGUGAGAAUCCCGUGCGGCACGGCCCCCGGCUCCUUAUAAGGCGCUCUCGACGAGUCGAGUUGUUUGGGAAUGCAGCUCAAAGUGGGUGGUAAAUUCCAUCUAAAGCUAAAUACAGGCGAGAGACCGAUAGCGAACAAGUACAGUGAUGGAAAGAUGAAAAGCACUUUGAAAAGAGAGUGAAACAGCACGUGAAAUUGUUGAAAGGGAAGGGCAUGCCGUCAGAUUGUCAGUGUGGGUAAGAAGCGGGGUACAAAGACUGUGGAACGUGGCCCUCGGGUGUUAUAGCCGCAGUUCAUGCCCCGUCUCUUUCCGAGGCCUGCUUUGAGGACACCGACGUAAUGACGGUACGCCGCCCGUCUUGAAACACGGACCAAAACGGUUUUUCGA